GAACGCUGGCGGCAUGCUUAACACAUGCAAGUCGCACGAGGGUUUCGGCCUUAGUGGCGGACGGGUGAGUAACGCGUAGGUAUCUAUCCACGGGUGGGGGAUAACAGCGGGAAACUGCUGCUAAUACCGCAUAAUGCCUGGGGGCCAAAGGCGCAAGUCGCCUGUGGAGGAGCCUGCGUACGAUUAGCUUGUUGGUGGGGUAACUGCCUACCAAGGCGACGAUCGUUAGCUGGUCUGAGAGGAUGAUCAGCCACAUUGGGACUGAGACACGGCCCAAACUCCUACGGGAGGCAGCAGUGGGGAAUAUUGGACAAUGGGCGAAAGCCUGAUCCAGCAAUGCCGCGUGUGUGAAGAAGGU
rnacentral:rRNA from 1 species